rnacentral:rRNA from 1 species
UGGGGAAUAUUCCGCAAUGGACGAAAGUAUGACGGAGCAACGCCGCGUGAGUGAUGAAGGUUUUCGGACUGUAAAGCUCUGUUGUUUAGGACGAAAGUGCCUGUUGCGAACAGUUACAGGUAUUGACGGUACUAAACGAGGAAGCCACGGCUAACUACGUGCCAGCAGCCGCGGUAAUACGUAGGUGGCAAGCGUUGUCCGGAAUUAUUGGGCGUAAAGAGCAUGUAGGCGGAGAUUUAAGUCUGUUGUGAAAAUGCGGGGCUCAACCCCGUAUUGCGAUGGAAACUGAAUUUCUUGAGUGCAGGAGAGGAGAGGGGAAUUCCCAGUGUAGCGGUGAAAUGCGUAGAUAUUGGGAGGAACACCAGUGGCGAAGGCGCCUUUCUGGACUGUGUCUGACGCUGAGAUGCGAAAGCCAGGGUAGCGAACG